rnacentral:rRNA from 1 species
UGGGGAAUAUUGGACAAUGGGCGAAAGCCUGAUCCAGCCAUGCCGCGUGUGUGAAGAAGGUCUUCGGAUUGUAAAGCACUUUAAGUUGGGAGGAAGGGCAGUAAGCGAAUACCUUGCUGUUUUGACGUUACCGACAGAAUAAGCACCGGCUAACUCUGUGCCAGCAGCCGCGGUAAUACAGAGGGUGCAAGCGUUAAUCGGAAUUACUGGGCGUAAAGCGCGCGUAGGUGGUUGGUUAAGUUGGAUGUGAAAGCCCCGGGCUCAACCUGGGAACUGCAUCCAAAACUGGCCGACUAGAGUACAGUAGAGGGUGGUGGAAUUUCCUGUGUAGCGGUGAAAUGCGUAGAUAUAGGAAGGAACACCGGUGGCGAAGGCGGCCAUCUGGUCCGGAACUGACGCUGAGGCGCGAAAGCGUGGGGAGCAA